rnacentral:rRNA from 1 species
GUCCAUGGCCAUGCCACCCUGAACAAGCCUGAUGUCUGAUCUCAGAAGCUAAGCAGGGUCGGGCCUGGUUAGUACUUUGAUGGGAGACCACCUAGGAAGACCAGGUACUGUAGGCA